UGAAAGGCAUGAAAGAGAUAAAGAUACCGUCCCUUAUACUGGUGGCAGAAGGAUUCUGGAGAUGAGUGGAUAUACACGGGACCGGGACAGGAGCGACACACUAGGGAGACUGGAGACACACAGGAGUUGGAGCUGGAGAGACACACUCGGGGAACUGGAGGUGACAGGAGUCGGGAUCGAGGUUCGGAGUUGGAGUAUCGUGUCGAGGGCACAGAUGUCAAGACAAGUUCCACAACAUGAGGACCAUCUUCAAAUGUGAGGCCGAGAAAGUGGAAAGGUCACAGCGAUCUGGUGUUGGGACAGAUGCAGUAUAUGUGCCACACUGGUUCCUGGGGGAUGUGUUUUAAAGCAGGGGCCUGUUUUGGAGAGCUUUUUUGAAGCUUGAAGAAGAGGGCAAACAAGAUCAUGGGGACACCAGUGCCAACAGCUGUCCAAGUACCAGUGACUCCAGCUUGACAACCCCUGAAGAACAAACACCAAAACAAAAGAAAAGAAGAACAGAUGAUGUAUGAUGCCGCCAAGAUGGAAAUUUAUAGUAGCAUACUUAGUUGUCUGCAGCAGCCAACAGUAGUAGAUCCCACUGAUACCAUUGGCAAAUGUUGCUGAAACUCUGAAGGGCAUGGGGUUUCGAAACAGGGAACUCUGCAAAACUGAGAUUCAGCAGGUUAUGUUGAAACACCUUUUUAAUGACUUGGGUAAUGAGUGAAGUGUAAAGUUGACUGAACUGAGCAACAAGCGCG